rnacentral:rRNA from 1 species
GGUUAAGUGACUAAGCGUACACGGUGGAUGCCUUGGCAGUCAGAGGCGAUGAAAGACGUAGUAACUUGCGAUAAGCCCAGAUUAGGUAGUAACAACCAUUUGAGUCUGGGAUUUCUGAAUGGGGAAACCCACGUGCAUAAGCACGUAUCCUUACCUGAAUACAUAGGGUAAGGAGGCGAACCGGGGGAACUGAAACAUCUAAGUACCCCGAGGAAAAGAAAUCAACCGAGAUUCCGAAAGUAGCGGCGAGCGAAAUUGGACUAGCCCUUAAGCUUUACACGCGUUAGACGAACGGUCUGGAAAGUCCGACGAUACAGGGUGAUAGUCCCGUAGUUGACGACGUGUGUUCAGUGAAAUCGAGUAGGGCGGGACACGUGAUAUCCUGUCUGAAUAUGGGGGGACCAUCCUCCAAGGCUAAAUACUACUGACUGACCGAUAGUGAACCAGUACCGUGAGGGAAAGGCGAAAAGAACCCCUGUGAGGGGAGUGAAAUAGAACCUGAAACCGUGUACGUACAAGCAGUAGGAGCAGGCUUUGUCCUGUGACUGCGUACCUUUUGUAUAAUGGGUCAGCGACUUAUAUUCAGUGGCAAGGUUAACCAUCUAGGGGAGCCGUAGGGAAACCGAGUCUUAACUGGGCGUUCAGUCUCUGGAUAUAGACCCGAAACCAGGUGAUCUAGCCAUGGGCAGGUUGAAGGUUGAGUAACAUCAACUGGAGGACCGAACCGACUAAUGUUGAAAAAUUAGCGGAUGACUUGUGGCUAGGGGUGAAAGGCCAAUCAAACCUGGAGAUAGCUGGUUCUCCCCGAAAGCUAUUUAGGUAGCGCCUCGGACGAAUACUACUGGGGGUAGAGCACUGUUAAGGCUAGGGGGUCAUCCCGACUUACCAACCCUUUGCAAACUCCGAAUACCAGUAAGUACUAUCCGGGAGACACACGGCGGGUGCUAACGUCCGUCGUGGAGAGGGAAACAACCCAGACCGCCAGCUAAGGUCCCAAAUUACUACUAAGUGGGAAACGAUGUGGGAAGGCUCAGACAGCCAGGAUGUUGGCUUAGAAGCAGCCAUCAUUUAAAGAAAGCGUAAUAGCUCACUGGUCGAGUCGGCCUGCGCGGAAGAUGUAACGGGGCUAAGUAGUAAACCGAAGCUGCGGCAAUGUGCUUUUGCACAUUGGGUAGGGGAGCGUUCUGUAAGCGGUUGAAGGUGUGUGGUAACGCAUGCUGGACGUAUCAGAAGUGCGAAUGCUGACAUGAGUAACGAUAAAGGGGGUGAAAAACCUCCUCGCCGGAAGACCAAGGGUUCCUGUCCAACGUUAAUCGGGGCAGGGUAAGUCGACCCCUAAGGCGAGGCCGAAAGGCGUAGUCGAUGGGAAACGGGUUAAUAUUCCCGUACUUCUUACAAUUGCGAUGGGGGGACGGAGAAGGCUAGGUGGGCCUGGCGACGGUUGUCCAGGUUCAAGUGCGUAGGCUUAAGAGUUAGGUAAAUCCGGCUCUUUUUAA